rnacentral:rRNA from 1 species
AUACGGAGGGGGUUAGCGUUGUUCGGAAUUACUGGGCGUAAAGCGCACGUAGGCGGAUUGGAAAGUUGGGGGUGAAAUCCCAGGGCUCAACCCUGGAACUGCCUCCAAAACUAACAGUCUAGAGUUCGAGAGAGGUGAGUGGAAUUCCAAGUGUAGAGGUGAAAUUCGUAGAUAUUUGGAGGAACACCAGUGGCGAAGGCGGCUCACUGGCUCGAUACUGACGCUGAGGUGCGAAAGCGUGGGGAGCAAACAGGAUUAGAAACCCGAGUAGUCC